GUUAAGCACUUUACAUUUUCAUAACAAUUGUAAAGAUUAAUGGACCUGUGACUGCUGCAGGAGGAGGAGGGGUUGCAGCCCCAUUACCCUGAGUAUUGUCCAAGCAAGGAUUGGUCAGGAUUUCCUUCUCUACAUCUUUCUUCAUUCUGUCCAUGAUGAGUUCCAGCCGAAAAGUGGAGAAACAGGAGCUGCCAAAGCCACUGGAGCUAAGCAAAGGUCUAAGGCAGCUGUACCAGCACCAGUUACUCUGUGAUGCCACCUUAGUGUGUGAAGGAAAGAGGUUCUCCUGUCACAG